AGUGGAAUAGCUGGUUCAAAUGGUGAUUUCAUUCCAAGUUUUCUAUGGAAUUUUCAUACUGCUUUCCAGAGUGGUUGUACCAAUUUGCAGUCCCACCAACAAU
rnacentral:pre_miRNA from 1 species